rnacentral:rRNA from 1 species
UACGAAGGGGGCUAGCGUUGCUCGGAAUCACUGGGCGUAAAGCGCACGUAGGCGGCUUCUUAAGUCAGGGGUGAAAUCCUGGGGCUCAACCCCAGAACUGCCCUUGAUACUGAGGAGCUUGAGUCCGGGAGAGGUGAGUGGAACUCCGGGUGUAGAGGUGAAAUUCGUAGAUAUUCGGAAGAACACCAGUGGCGAAGGCGGCUCACUGGCCCGGUACUGACGAUGAGGUGCGAAAGCGUGGGGAGCUAACAGG